rnacentral:lncRNA from 1 species
CGGGGUUUCUUUCUUGAUCUUUUUUGGAAAUAUUCAUUAUGGUGUUAUAGUCACCACCAUUGACCAUGACAUAAAUACAUCUUUACUUUCUUUAUGAUUUUUGUAAACACUUCAUCUUUACUUUCUAUUAUACGAAUUUCUUAUAAUCGGAACAUUCGUAUUAUUGAAAAAAUUCAGUGAAUUUAAAUUAUAUUUACUUAAUUAAAACUGAUUAAAAAAUAUCUCAAAGAUUUUGAUAUAAAUCUUUCAAAAUGUUUAGAUUUACUAAUUAAUUAUUAAUAUAUUUUGUGAUUGAUUUAUGUGAAAAAGAUUUGAUAUUGAUGGUCGUACUCCUAGCUAGAUUAUGUAAUUACAAGCUUAUAAUAAAGUUGUACUAAUCUGGGGUUUUUAAUUCACUUUUUAAUAAAAUUAUAUUCUAGGCUUAUAAUAAUUUGCUCUUUCCUCUGCAAAAAAAUAUAAUUGAUGAGAGAUUACAUAUUUUUUUAAACAUAAUAUUGUAA